rnacentral:rRNA from 1 species
UACGAAGGGGGCUAGCGUUGCUCGGAAUUACUGGGCGUAAAGCGCACGUAGGCGGACUCUUAAGUCGGGGGUGAAAUCCUGGAGCUCAACUCCAGAACUGCCUUCGAUACUGGAAGCUCGAGUCCGGGAGAGGUGAGUGGAACUGCGAGUGUAGAGGUGAAAUUCGUAGAUAUUCGCAAGAACACCAGUGGCGAAGGCGGCUCACUGGCCCGGUACUGACGCUGAGGCACGAAAGCGUGGGGAGCAAACAGG